rnacentral:rRNA from 1 species
UUCCGGUUGAUCCUGCCGGAGGCUAUUGCUAUCAGGGUUUGACUAAGCCAUGCGAGUCGAGAGGUGUAAGACCUCAGCAUACUGCUCAGUAACACGUGGAUAAUCUGCCCUCAGGUGAGGAAUAAUCCCGGGAAACUGGGGCUAAUGCCUCAUAGGAGACGGGUGCUGGAAUGCUCUGUCUCCCAAAGGUCCGCCGCCUGAGGAUGAGUCUGCGUCCGAUUAGGUAGUUGUUGGGGUAACGGCCCAACAAGCCUUUGAUCGGUACGGGUUGUGGGAGCAAGAGCCCGGAGAUGGAUUCUGAGACAUGAAUCCAGGCCCUACGGGGCGCAGCAGGCGCGAAAACUUUACAAUGCGAGCAAUCGUGAUAAGGAAACCCUGAGUGCCUGUCAAUGCAGGCUGUUCUGGUGUCUAACACACACCAGGAGAAAGGGCGGGGCAAGACCGGUGCCAGCCGCCGCGGUAAUACCGGCUGCUCGAGUGAUAGCCGCUUUUACUGGGCUUAAAGCGUUCGUAGCUUGGUCGUUAAGUCUCUGGGGAAAUCUUUUGGCUCAACCAAAAGGCGUCUCAGGGAAACUGGCGAUCUUGGAACCGGGAGAGGUAAGACGUACUUCGGGGG